rnacentral:tRNA from 1 species
ACCUGGCUGGCUCAGUGGGUGGAGCAUGUGACUCGUGAUCUCUGGGUUAUGAGUUCGAGCCCCAUGUUGGAUG